rnacentral:rRNA from 1 species
AUGACGGUACCUGACGAAUAAGCAUCGGCUAACUCCGUGCCAGCAGCCGCGGUAAUACGGAGGAUGCAAGCGUUAUCCGGAAUGAUUGGGCGUAAAGCGUCCGCAGGUGGUAGURUAAGUCUGCUGUCAAAGAGUCACGCUCAACCUGAUCAAAGCAGUGGAAACUACACAACUAGAGUGCGGUAGGGGCAGAAGGAAUUCCUGGUGUAGCGGUGAAAUGCGUAGAUAUCAGGAAGAACACCGGUGGCGAAAGCGUUCU